GAGCAAGCGUUGUUCGGAUUUACGGGGCGUAAAGGGCGCGUAGGCGGUCGUGACAAGUCACUUGUGAAAUCUCCGGGCUUAACUCGGAACGGUCAAGUGAUACUGUCGGACUAGAGUACAGAAGGGGCAACUGGAAUUCUCGGUGUAGCGGUGAAAUGCGUAGAUAUCGAGAGGAACACCUGCGGCUAAGGCGGGUUGCUGGGCUGAUACUGACGCUGAGGCGCGAAAGCCAGGGGAGCGAACGGG
rnacentral:rRNA from 1 species